rnacentral:rRNA from 1 species
GGUUUGAUUCUGGCUCAGAUUGAACGCUGGCGGGAUGCUUUACACAUGCAAGUUGAACGGCAGCACGGACUUCGGUCUGGUGGCGAGUGGCGAACGGGUGAGCAAUGUAUCAAGAACGUGUGCUCUAGUAGCGGAGAAUCUACGCGUAGGUAGAAGCAUUACCGCAUAAUGUUCUUCGUAAAGCGGGGACUCGGGCCUCGCACCAGGGAGCGGCCGAUAUCGGAUUAGCUAGUUGGUGGGGUAACGGCUCACCAAGGCGACGAUCCGUAGCUGGUUUGAGAGGACGACUGUUACCACUGGGACUGGAGACACGGCCUGACUCCAGCGGGAGGCAGUGGGGGAAUUCUUUGGACAAUGGGGAAACCCUGAUCCAGCCAUCCCGCGUGUGCGAUGAAGGCCUUCUGGUUGUAAAGCACUUUGGCAGGAAAGAACGGCACGGGAUAAUACCCCGUGCAACUUGACGGUACCUGCAGAAUAAGCACCGGCUAACUACGCCAGCAGCCGCGGUAAUACGUAGGGUGCAAGCGUUAAUCGGAAUCGCCGGCGUAGCGUGGUGCAGGCGGUUCGGAAAGAAAGAUGUGAAAAUCCCAGAGCUUAACUUUGGAACCGCAUUUUUAACUACCGAGCUAGAGUGUCAGAGGGGAGGUGGAAUUCCGCGUGUAGCAGUGAAAUGCGUAGAUAUGCGGAGGAACACCGAUGGCGAAGGCAGCCCCUGAUAACACUGACGCUCAUGCACGAAAGUAGAUAAAAAACAGAUUAGAUACCCUGGUAGUCCACGCCCUAAACGAUGUCAACUAGCUGUUGGGGCCUUCGGGCCUUGUAGCGCAGCUAACGCAGGAAGUUGACCGCCUGGGGAGUGCCGGUCGCAAGAUUAAACUCAAAGGAAUUGACGGGGACCCGCACAAGCGGUGGAUGAUGUGGAUUGACCUGAUGCAACGCGAAAACCUUACCUACCCUUGACAUGUCUGGAAUCCCGAAGAGAUUUGGGAGUGCUCGCAAGAGAACCGGAACACAGGUGCUGCAUGGCUGUCGUCAGCUCGUGUCGUGAGAUGUUGGGUUAAGUCCCGCAACGAGCGCAACCCUUGUCAUUAGUUGCUGCUGAAAGGUACCCCUAAUGAGACUGGCCGGUGACAAACUGGAGGAAGGUGGGGAUGACGUCAAGUCCCUUUAUGGCCCUUAUGGGUAGGGCUUCACACGUCAUACAAUGGUCGGGACAGGGAUGUCGCCAACCCGCGAGGGGGAGCCAAUCCCAGAAACCCGAUCGUAGUCCGGAUCGCAGUCUGCAACUCGACUGCGUGAAGUCGGAAUCGCUAGUAAUCGCGGAUCAGCAUGUCGCGGUGAAUACGUUCCCGGCCUUGUACACACCACCCGUCACACCAUGGGAGUACUAACAGAAGUAGUUAGCCUAACCGUAAGGAGGGCGAUUACCACGGUAGGAUUCCAUGACUGGGGUGGUCGUAACAAGUUGCAACCUCG